GAUAAGGUGGCUGAGUGGUUAAGGCGAUGGACUGCGAUGGACUCCAUUGGGAAUCGUGUGAGUUCGAAUCUCUUCUUGAUCG
rnacentral:tRNA from 1 species